GACGAACGCUGGCGGCGUGCUUAACACAUGCAAGUCGAACGGAAAGGCCCUGCUUGCAGGGUACUCGAGUGGCGAACGGGUGAGUAACACGUGGGUGAUCUGCCCUGCACUUCGGGAUAAGCCUGGGAAACUGGGUCUAAUACCGGAUAGGAGCCAUUUUUAGUGUGAUGGUUGGAAAGUUUUUUCGGUGUAGGAUGAGCUCGCGGCCUAUCAGCUUGUUGGUGGGGUAAUGGCCUACCAAGGCGGCGACGGGUAGCCGGCCUGAGAGGGUGGACGGCGACAUUGGGACUGAGAGGCGGCCCAGACUCCGAAGGGAGGCAGAAGGGGGGAAGAUUGAAGGAUGGGCGCAAGCCUGAUGCAGCGAGGCCGCGGGGCGGAUGACGGCGUUCGGGUUGUAAACUCCUUUCGCUAGGGACGAAGCUUUUUGUGACGGUACCUAAAUAAGAAGCACCGGCUAACUACGUG
rnacentral:rRNA from 1 species